CCUACGGGAGUCUGCAGUGAGGAAUAUUGGUCAAUGGCCGAGAGGCUGAACCCGCCAAGUCGCGUGAGGGAAGCCGGCCCUACGGGUUGUAAACCUCUUUUGUCUGGGAGCAAAGAGCGUCACGUGUGACUCAUUGAGAGUACCCGAAGAAAAAGCAUCGGCUAACUCCGUUCCAGCAGCCGCGGUAAUACGGAGGAUGCGAGCGUUAUCCGGAUUUAUUGGGUUUAAAGGGUGCGCAGGCGGAGGUGCAAGUCAGCGGUCAAAUUGCGGGGCGCAAACCCGUACUGCCGUUGAAACUGCAUCUCUUGAGUGCGCGAGAAGUAUGCGGAAUGCGUGGUGUAGCGGUGAAAUGCAUAGAGAGCACGCAGAACUCCGAGUGCGAAGGCAGCAUACCGGCGCGCAACUGACGCUCAUGCACGAAAGCGUGGGUAUCGAACAGGAUUAGAUACCCGAGUAGUC
rnacentral:rRNA from 1 species